AGAAUCAGUGGUUGGAAGGAAAGACUUCUAUUGGCUGGAGGAAAGGAGAUUUUGCUUAAAGCGGUUGUUCAAGCCAUACCCACCUACGCAAUUUCGGCCUUUAAAAUUCCUAUUUUUUGCAAAGAAAUUAUUGACGCGAUGGCGCAUUUCUGGUGGGGAGAUGAGGACAACCCGAGGAGGAUGCAUUGGAUGGCUUGGUGGAUAUUGUGUGCACCCAAGAAUCAAGGAGGAAUGGGCUUUCGGGAGAUCCACUAUUUCAAUUUGGCUAUGCUCGCUAAACAGGCUUGGCGUCUUAUCGAGAAUCUGGAUUCUCUAUGUGCUACCAUUUUGGGAGUCAAAUACUAUCCUAACAGUGACUCGUUGAACACUAAUUUUAAGAAGGGCUCUUCCUUCACUUGA
rnacentral:rRNA from 1 species